AUACGUAGGGGGCAAGCGUUAUCCGGAUUUACUGGGUGUAAAGGGAGCGUAGACGGUUUGGCAAGUCUGAAGUGAAAGCCCAGGGCUUAACCCUGGGACUGCUUUGGAAACUGUUAAACUAGAGUGCAGGAGAGGUAAGUGGAAUUCCUAGUGUAGCGGUGAAAUGCGUAGAUAUUAGGAGGAACACCAGUGGCGAAGGCGGCUUACUGGACUGUAACUGACGUUGAGGCUCGAAAGCGUGGGGAGCAAACAGGAUUAGAUACCCUGGUAGUCCACGCUGUAAACGAUGAUUACUAGAUGUUGUGGACUAUGAGUCUUCGGUGUCGCAGCUAACGCAAUAAGUAAUCCACCUGGGGAGUACGUUCGCAAGAAUGAAACUUAAAGGAAUUGACGGGG
rnacentral:rRNA from 1 species